rnacentral:rRNA from 1 species
AUGGGAAGAGAAAAGCUCCAUGAGCAGCCCUCCGGUCGUCUGAUUGAAUCCCUUAAAAUGGAGAGGGUUAGGACCAUUCUGACUCAUGGAUACCCAUACCGACAUGAGCACUCGACACAUUUCAUCAUUAGGAAGACUAUCAAGCCAAACUAUUCAAACUUUAGUCGUUGGUACAUUGCAUGGAUAUUCUUGGCAGCAUUAUACCAUCUCCCUAGUUUUCAGUCAAUGGGGUUGGAUUUGAUGAUGAAUCAUUCCCUGCUCCUCGCUAUUUAUGUUUCCUCUCUAGUUUUCUUUAUCAUCUUCCGCGUCAUAUUUCUUGGACUCUGGUAUUUGGGUCUUGUUUCUCGCAUAGCAGAGAAACAGCAAGUGAUGCUUACUAUAAUCCAAAAUUGUGCAGUGAUAAGUACAGCUUGCUGCGUGUUCUACAGUCACUGUGGUAGCAGAACUCUUUCGAGGGACAAAUCCAUUGAUCGUAGAACUGCUAACUGGGUUGCAUUUUCUCUGUGGAGAAAGCAAAAUGAGGACAAUACACUGAUUUCAAAGCUAUUGCGUAUGCAUAAGUUUAAUGACCAGAUUUGCCCAUCCUGGUUUGCUCCGCUUCCAAUGGAUCCGAACACUCCAACAUCAUUUCACCUGUCUACUCUUUCUGGGCUAUAUUCAUUGGACUUUGCAUGGCUAAUUAUGUCGUGGAGUGGUCAACUGGAUGGGCUCUAA